rnacentral:rRNA from 2 species
GAGUUUGAUCCUGGCUCAGAUUGAACGCUGGCGGCAGGCCUAACACAUGCAAGUCGAGCGGUAACAUUUCUAGCUUGCUAGAAGAUGACGAGCGGCGGACGGGUGAGUAAUGCUUGGGAACAUGCCUUGAGGUGGGGGACAACCAUUGGAAACGAUGGCUAAUACCGCAUAAUGUCUACGGACCAAAGGGGGCUUCGGCUCUCGCCUUUAGAUUGGCCCAAGUGGGAUUAGCUAGUUGGUGAGGUAACGGCUCACCAAGGCGACGAUCCCUAGCUGGUUUGAGAGGAUGAUCAGCCACACUGGAACUGAGACACGGUCCAGACUCCUACGGGAGGCAGCAGUGGGGAAUAUUGCACAAUGGGCGCAAGCCUGAUGCAGCCAUGCCGCGUGUGUGAAGAAGGCCUUCGGGUUGUAAAGCACUUUCAGUCAGGAGGAAAGGUUAGUAGUUAAUACCUGCUAGCUGUGACGUUACUGACAGAAGAAGCACCGGCUAACUCCGUGCCAGCAGCCGCGGUAAUACGGAGGGUGCGAGCGUUAAUCGGAAUUACUGGGCGUAAAGCGUACGCAGGCGGUUUGUUAAGCGAGAUGUGAAAGCCCCGGGCUUAACCUGGGAACUGCAUUUCGAACUGGCAAACUAGAGUGUGAUAGAGGGUGGUAGAAUUU